GACGAACGCUGGCGGCGUGCUUAACACAUGCAAGUCGAACGGAAAGGCCCUGCUAUCGUGCGGUUCUCGAGUGCCGAAGGGGUGAGUAACACGUGAGUAACCUGCCCUUGACUUUGGGAUAACUUCAGGAAACUGGGCCUACUACCGGAUAGGAUCUCCCGCUGCAUGGAGGGGGUUGGAAAGUCGGGGCGGGUGGGGAUGGAUUCGCGGGUUACCAGCUAGCUGGUGGGGUAGUGGCUGACCAAGGCUUUGAAGGGUAGGCGGCAUGGGAGGGUGGCCGGCCACAAUGGGCCUGAGGUACGGCCCAGUCGCCAAUGGGGGGCAGCGGGGGGGAGUCUGGUACAGUGAGCGGGAGCCUGAUGCGGAAACGCCGCGUGCGGGAAGACGGCCUUCGGGGAGAGAACAGCAGCCGCCUGUGACGAAGCGUGAGUGACGGUAAUGAGUAAAGAAGCACCGGCUAACUACGUG
rnacentral:rRNA from 1 species